rnacentral:rRNA from 1 species
GAUGAACGCUGGCGGCGUGCCUAAUACAUGCAAGUCGAGCGAACAGACGAGGAGCUUGCUCCUCUGACGUUAGCGGCGGACGGGCGAGUAACACGUGGAUAACCUACCUAUAAGACUGGGAUAACUUCGGGAAACCGGAGCUAAUACCGGAUAAUAUAUUGAACCGCAUGGUUCAAUAGUGAAAGACGGUUUUGCUGUCACUUAUAGAUGGAUCCGCGCCGCAUUAGCUAGUUGGUAAGGUAACGGCUUACCAAGGCAACGAUGCGUAGCCGACCUGAGAGGGUGAUCGGCCACACUGGAACUGAGACACGGUCCAGACUCCUACGGGAGGCAGCAGUAGGGAAUCUUCCGCAAAGGGCGAAAGCUUGACGGAGCAACGCCGCGUGAGUGAUGAAGGUCUUCGGAUCGUAAAACUCUGUUAUUAGGGAAGAACAAAUGUGUAAGUAACUAUGCACGUCUUGACGGUACCUAAUCAGAAAGCCACGGCUAACUACGUG